rnacentral:lncRNA from 1 species
CCGUAGUCCGCAGCCACGUCUGUCUCCGCAGCCUGCGCCCGGCCACAUGCUACUAUGUCAUGUCUUCGUUGGCCAUCUCUUCUCCCUUCCUGCUGUGUAAGGAUUUUUUUUAUUUCCAAUUCCAAGCAGGUAUGCCAACUCUUCUCCUUUCCUGCUGUAUAUGGAUUUUGAUUGGUUGUCCAAUUUUAAUCUGCUCCUCGAACUCUUAAGUAGACCGUUUGUGGUUAUAGGAAUCUCUUAAGCAAGAACUUAAAAAAAAGACAUGGAAAAGUAGAAAACACUAAGGUAUGGUUGUCACUUAGGAUGGAAAAGAGGCUUUCACACUUGCAUUCCUGUGGCUCUCUCUCCUGGCUGGCUCUGCUCAUUUUGCAUUCUUGUGGUUAACAUGGUUAAACCUGAGUUUCCUAUUCCAUAGAGACUAAAGAAGAAAGCCACUGGUCACUGUGUUUUGAUCGUUGAUGUUCUGUGAAGGAAGAGCGACCAAUUUCUUUUUUCAGGUGAAUAUCAAAGCAAGAGAGAGCUGAGUCAGGACCUCGGUUCAGGCAAGCACGUCGGCACCAGUAUUGCAUCAGGUGAACAUGUAAGUACCUUAUUAGCUAGCCUAUAUCUUCUUUGUUCAGUUGCAGCAAAUAGAUCACUACUGGUUCUUCCUUGGUGUCAAUUCAUCACCUAGAUAAAGGCAUGAGUCCCUUGGUGUCAGUACCUAUGAGUUUAUUCACGCAUAGUUGUAGCAAUAAUACUUGAUAGGUUGGAUCUUAUCUCUAAAGAAUAUAAGAGAUAUGUGUAGUUGCAGCAUCACUUAUUGCUGUCUCAUCAUUUUUUUUAAAAAAUAUUUAUAUGUACUGAUGGAGACUUGAAAAUAUCAGGUGCAGGCUGUAUCAAUUUGUUCAAAUUUUUUAUUUUUCCCUUGCUAUGAAGCAAUGCACAGGCCACUGACUUUUUGGGUUUCCAAACAUAUUUCCUAGCUUUGCUUUCCAUGAUUUUUAUUGCUUUGUUUUGUUCAUUCUCUGAUCGGUAAUGUAUUUCUUUUAUGCAUGUUUGAAUUACAUGUUUCCACACAGUUGCAUUGCAUCAUGCAGUCCAACUAUAUGCAGAAAUUUCUGAUUUACAGCAUCACUCAUUGUCGCAGGUUGUGGUGAUGUUGGCUAUUGAGAAGGGCAGCCAUGCUGUUGAGAAGGGAUGGCCGUGGAGAGAGCUGCGGGUGAUGAGCGAAAAUUGAGAGAAUGUGUGUUGUGUGUGCUUGAUAUUUUCAGCUCCUCACCCGAAUGCUCGCUCCGGUCGAGAAUCAUGAAAUGAAGAGUUACCAAACAAGCUCCAAUGUUACAUGUGAUUAUAUUUUAUGAAUGAAAAAUGUACAAUUUGUUUUUAUCUCUUGAUUAUGGUCGGAUGUUUUCCCUUAUGUCUAUCAUGUUCUAGCACAUUGUUACGCUGGGAGAAUUGGUAGCCUUGUAUAUUGUUUUAUUGUCAGUGUUUUUGUCAUUCUGUUACGAAUUUCUAAAAUAUGAAUGGCUACUGCUAUGUAUCAGUGGAGGAAGAUUUACGCUAUGUAAAUCCAAAACAGGUAUAUAUAAGAAAUUUCAAACAAAAGUGAAUUUUA